rnacentral:rRNA from 1 species
UACGGAGGAUGCAAGCGUUAUCCGGAAUGAUUGGGCGUAAAGCGUCCGCAGGUGGCUGUGUAAGUCUGCUGUUAAAGAGUGAGGCUCAACCUCAUAAAAGCAGUGGAAACUACACGGCUAGAGUGCGUUCGGGGCAGAGGGAAUUCCUGGUGUAGCGGUGAAAUGCGUAGAUAUCAGGAAGAACACCGGUGGCGAAAGCGCUCUGCUAGGCCGCAACUGACACUGAGGGACGAAAGCUAGGGGAGCGAACGGG